GAUGAACGCUGGCGGCGUGCCUAAUACAUGCAAGUCGAGCGAACAGACGAGGAGCUUGCUCCUCUGACGUUAGCGGCGGACGGGUGAGUAACACGUGGAUAACCUACCUAUAAGACUGGGAUAACUUCGGGAAACCGGAGCUAAUACCGGAUAAUAUAUUGAACCGCAUGGUUCAAUAGUGAAAGACGGUUUUGCUGUCACUUAUAGAUGGAUCCGCGCCGCAUUAGCUAGUUGGUACGGUAACGGCUUACCAAGGCAACGAUGCGUAGCCGACCUGAGAGGGGGGUCGGCCACACGAGAACUGAGACACGGUCCAGACUCCUACGGGAGGCAGCAGUAGGGAAUCGUCCGCAAUAGGCGAAAGCCUGACGGAGCAACGCCGCGUGAGUGAUGAAGGUCUUCGGAGCGUAAAACUCUGUUAUUAGGGAAGAACAAAUGUGUAAGUAACUAUGCACGUCUUGACGGUACCUAAUCAGAAAGCCACGGCUAACUACGUG
rnacentral:rRNA from 1 species